GGGGGGAGGCAGUAUCCUGGGCUGUGUCCCCGGCGCCCUGUGCUCCGGGGCCUGCGCUGUUGGAUUCGUGCUCCCCGCCGUGCAGUCCCCU
rnacentral:pre_miRNA from 1 species